rnacentral:misc_RNA from 1 species
AAGUCGUAACAAGGUUUCCGUAGGUGAACCUGCGGAAGGAUCAUUAAAAGUAAUAAGUGCUCCAAGCGCUCAUUAUGAAACCCAUCUGUGUAUUUUACCUGUUGCUUCCGUGGGGCGUUGGCUUCGGCCGCCUCCGAUGAGGGUGAGAGCCCAGACUCGGGGAGUACCCACGGGAGGUAUUAUUAAAACCAUUGCUUUCAAUGAUGUCUGUCUGAAUUGUCUCAAUGAGAAAAGUUAAAACUUUCAACAACGGAUCUCUUGGUUCUC